GCCGAGGUAGCUCAGUUCGGUAGAGCGCCCGCCUUGUAAGCGGAUGGUCAGGGGUUCGAAUCCCCUCCUCGGCU
rnacentral:tRNA from 1 species